GGGUUGUGAGGUUAAGCGACUAAGCGUACACGGUGGAUGCCCUGGCAGUCAGAGGCGAUGAAGGACGUGCUAAUCUGCGAUAAGCGUCGGUAAGGUGAUAUGAACCGUUAUAACCGGCGAUUUCCGAAUGGGGAAACCCAGUGUGAUUCGUCACACUAUCAUUAACUGAAUCCAUAGGUUAAUGAGGCGAACCGGGGGAACUGAAACAUCUAAGUACCCCGAGGAAAAGAAAUCAACCGAGAUUCCCCCAGUAGCGGCGAGCGAACGGGGAGCAGCCCAGAGCCUGAAUCAGUGUGUGUGUUAGUGGAAGCGUCUGGAAAGGCGCGCGAUACAGGGUGACAGCCCCGUACACAAAAAUACACAUAUUGUGAGCUCGAUGAGUAGGGCGGGACACGUGGUAUCCUGUCUGAAUAUGGGGGGACCAUCCUCCAAGGCUAAAUACUCCUGACUGACCGAUAGUGAACCAGUACCGUGAGGGAAAGGCGAAAAGAACCCCGGCGAGGGGAGUGAAAAAGAACCUGAAACCGUGUACGUACAAGCAGUGGGAGCACGCUUAGGCGUGUGACUGCGUACCUUUUGUAUAAUGGGUCAGCGACUUAUAUUCUGUAGCAAGGUUAACCGAAUAGGGGAGCCGAAGGGAAACCGAGUCUUAACUGGGCGUUAAGUUGCAGGGUAUAGACCCGAAACCCGGUGAUCUAGCCAUGGGCAGGUUGAAGGUUGGGUAACACUA
rnacentral:rRNA from 1 species